UCAGUCGGAAUUGCACGCGAUGUAAAAAAUACAUGCUAACAUCGGUUUAUGAAAUAUCGAUUUUUAUUGUGAUUAUAAACAUCGGUCAUUAAAUUAACCGAUGUGUAAAGUCUCGUUCAAAAAUUUUGAAAAAUUUGCGGAGGGACUAAGUUAAAAAUUUUAGAAACGCGGGGGGACUAAAUUUUCAUUCCCUCCAUUCCUCCAACACUAUUUUUUUUCACUCUGAAACUUUCGAACCGUAAUGACUAACUCUCACUCCUUCCAAACCCUACUCGGGUGGUACCCCCCCCUCCCCGGACUCUCACUCUCUCUCUAUGAUGAACAAGCUCCGGAAUUUGGUCUUUUCCCUUAAACUCUGUUCGAUCUCCACCGCAAUCCUUUUUCUCUUUCUCUCCGUUCUCGAUCUAACUCAACAAAUUGAGCACUUGGUGGCCACUGUGUUGAUCUAGAUCCAGGGCUUAUGGGCUUAUUCUUUUUGGGUAUUUCAAUUUGGCUCUUUCCAGUCGUUCCUCUUCCUCUCUCGUGCGAGGUCAUUCAACUCAGAUGCUUUCAAUUCAAUGGCGAGGUCAUUCGUGCGAGUUUCGUUCUGUCCGAGCGCAAUUUCGAUUCAACUCGGAUGCUUUCUCUUCUCUGCUGACGGAGAGUUCGCGUCUUGGGUCAGUUCUCAACCUCUUUUUGCUUGGUUUCUGUGUAGAUUGGAGCAGGCCUCUGGCCUCGCAGGUGUGCGUCUAGUGUGACCGGACAGGUUGCUGUCGGAGGUGAUUGGGAUGGAGAUCGGAGACUGGGGCGUUGGGAUUUCGAUCUGUUUGGUUUUUAUUUGAUGACGGUGGCUGCACGGAGACUGGGUGAGCGGAAGAUGGUGGUGACUGGGUGUGUGGCGACGGUCGGGGAUUCGGAUCCGGCAGUAGGGUUGUUGACCCUCUGGGUUUGGGGAUGGAGACGGUGGGAAUAUAGGCUCGGGUGUUGAUCUUCUUCAUGGAAUUGGGCAUGCGAGCUUUGUGUUUGUGGUGGUGGGUGAUGUGUGGUCAACGACGAUUGGGGUUCGGUAUCGGCGCCAAACAGAUUAUGGAGGAGCCUACAAUCCUGCAGCAGUGUCCAAACACGGUGUACUACAUAUUAUCACAUUAUAUUGGUUUAUUUCUUAUUUUCUUUCCAUUCUACUAGUCGGUCACAGUGUAUUAUUAACAUUCGAGGUGUUGCCGACAAGUUUGAUGGAGAGGAUAACAAUAAAGCAAAUGAAGUCGUCCUGAGUAUUGUUGACCUUACUGGUUCUAUAUUACUUAUAUGUAGUCUUCAUUGGCUCUAACUUUUCUUCUCUUUCAUCCUUGGUGACACCACACACACAUUCAGAUUAGAUAUGGAUGACAUGUGUACCUAACUCAUUGUGUGCUUUUAGUUGUAGCCAUAUAUGCUUAAAUGAUUAAUAUACCAAUUGAUACUGAAAAUCUGAAAUAGGGCUAGACAUGGUCUUUCGAGUCCCUAUAAUAUCUGUUACAAUUGCUUAGGACUAUUGUUACUGAUGCAAUGAUCUUUGGACAGUUGACCAAGUACUUGAGAGACUAUUUGGAAGGCAAGAAGGAGAUGUCACUGAUUUUAACAGUAAAAUCAGGAGAAGAAGAUUAUCGUGAUACAUCGCACCUGCUAAGACAGGCCUCACCUUAUAUGGAAAUCAAGUUUAAUAAUGCUGAAGACCCUUCAAAUAUUCCGAACAAAAGGCAAAUCCAGUCUUUGUCUAGAACUGAGCAGCGCAAAAGAAUGAAAUUAACCGGUUCUGAGUCUUGCGUGCGGCACAAAGAAUCUACAAGGUGGAAUUAAGUAGUGGUUCAAAACCGUGUAAUGUUGACACUGCAGAUGGAGAGAGAAACCAUCAGAUUAUGCAGAGUUUUGCUAAAGCUAUAUGGAAUGUUUUGAAGGAUUACAACAAAAAACUAUAGGUAAUCAAGAGUCUCAUACAUUCAAUUCAUGUAGUUAGUUAGGUAAACUGAUUCCUAUCAUCCAGUUCCUAAUUUUGAUGCCCAUUUGUUGAUCAAGCUGAGGCAGUAUUCAUUCUUUACUUUGGUUCCUUUCCUAACUAGCUCAACUUCCAUCAAUUAUAUGUUCAAAAGAAAACCUACUCAUCUAUCUGGUCAUAAGUAGGUGGCGGAUGAUGAAAUCAAUGUAGUCGGAAUCACAUUAAUGUAAAGCAUCCAUUUUCUUGAAUCAAUGUAGGUCCUGUCAUGGAGGAUUUGAAAUGCGUUGCUGUACUACCAUUGUACCAUAUAUAUGUUAAUGUUAUUCAUUUUGAACCUCCCUACCUUGGAUUUGCUUUAUUCUGAAUCUUUCAACCUGCUUCACUUCUCCAAUUGUUUCUCUAGCUUGUCUUGAACAAAUCUCAAAAACCUUUGUUCUUAUCUUUUUAAGAGAAAAUUUGCAUUGCUUCUGUGUUAUCAUGUAAAGUUGGAAUAGAUAUCUAGAAGGGAAAUUUGUAAUGUUUUUGUCUGUUUCUCCUUUGGUUAUUGUCACAGUGGUCCAGGCAGAGCUGGUAUAUGCACCACACCAUUGCAUUCCCACUUGGUUAAUGAGGGUUUUGCUAAACUGUAGCAUCUUCCAUAUAACAGGAAAGUGACUAAACUGUAUUCCAGGUUGCAGAUGAACUUGUAGCAGAGUUUUCUGACCCUAUCAAUGGUGUCACAUCCCCUGAUCAAAUUGACGAGGUGCGCAUUGAAGUGGCUGAUUAUAUACAGAGUUUGAUGUAGAAAUGUGACUGCCAAGAUGUUUUUUGAGUAAGGCUAGCUAGUUUUGGCUUUGAAGCAAAGCUUGGUGUGGAGCUUUUGUACAUUGUUGCUCAUAUGUUUCCAAGCUAGCUUUUGUAAGUUUAGGGGUUUAUUUUGUGAAUUAUGUUGAAUCAUGAAAUUUGGAAAGAAAAUUAAUGGGAAAGCCCCUUAUUUUGGAUGAUGAGAAAUGCAAUUUUUUUCCCAGCAAUAGCUAAAUGCAAACUUUUCACAUCAUGCUUGUCAAAAUAAAGUGAAGUAUAUUAAAGUAUAAUAAAACAGUAAUGCCAAGGAAAACGAAGUCAGUUGAGAGAUUAGAAAUCAAUAUCAAAAAUGAAAUCGAUGUGCUAUGAUUAUCAAUAUAUCGAAUUGUAACUCAAAACCGAUGUAAUCAAAACUACUGCACAUCGAUUUCUAAUCACCAAACCGUAAUCUAUUAUGAACAUACAAAUCACCUACCAUGGAGCAAACUGAUGUGUGGUCAAAAGGUGAACAUCAUUUCUGAAUAAAAAAACGAUGUAGAAUAAAGAUACAGACAUCGUUCCUAAGAAAAUAAUGUGGCAACCUACAUGUAAAAAUGGCCACGAACAAACAAUACUCAUGGGAACUGAUGUCUACAAGUGUACUGGACAUCGCUUCUGGAAUAGAAAUCGAUGCAAAUGUUCACGUAGGUAUUGUUCGACAUAUACUUUAUUAAGCAUAAAAUGUGAAAAUAUGAAGAAUUAGACAUACCUAACAUACAAAAAUAUGAUGAUUAUAACGAUUAUACAUCGAUUUGUUUUUUAGAAUCGAUGUUGGUUGUUGUCUGGGACAUCGGUUGAAAACGCGCUUAUACUGAUGUCUAUACUUUUCUCUACACCCACUAAGACAUCGGUCGAAAAUUAGUUUAACAUCGGUCCAGAACCG